GACGAACGCUGGCGGCGUGCUUAACACAUGCAAGUCGAACGGAAAGGGCCAGCUACUGUGGGGUGCUCGAGUGGCGAACGGGUGAGUAACACGUGAGUGACCUGACUAUGACCUGGGGAUAACGUCAGGAAACUGGGGCUAAUAACGGAUAGGAGCUCCAGCGGCAUGGUGGGGGUUGGAAAGUUUCGGCGGAUGGGGAGGGGCUAGGGGCCUAUAAGCUUGUUGGUGGGGUAGUGGCUUACCAAGGCAUUGACGGGUAGCCGGCCUGAGAGGGUGACAGGCCCCAUUGGGACUGAGAUACGGCCCAGACUCCUACGGGAGGCAGCAGUGGGGAAUAGUGCACAAUGGGCUGAAGCCUGAUGCAGCAACGCCGCGUGCGGUAUGACGGCCUUCGGGUUGUAAUCCGCUUUCGCCUGUGACGAAGCGUGAGUGACGGUAAUGGGUAAAUAAGCACCGGCUAACUACGUG
rnacentral:rRNA from 1 species